rnacentral:rRNA from 1 species
UAGGGAAUAUUGGACAAUGGUUGCAAGACUGAUCCAGCCAUGCCGCGUGCAGGAAGAAGGCUUUCUGAGUUGUAAACUGCUUUUGCCAGGGGAUAAAAAGUCCCUGCGGGGAAAAUUGAAGGUACCUGGUGAAUAAGCCACGGCUAACUACGUGCCAGCAGCCGCGGUAAUACGUAGGUGGCAAGCGUUGUCCGGAUUUAUUGGGUUUAAAGGGUGCGUAGGCGGUCCUGUAAGUCAGUUGUGAAAUACGGCAGCUUAACUGUCGAGGUGCAAUUGAUACUGCGGGACUAGAGUACUGAUGAGGUAAGCGGAAUGGACGGUGUAGCGGUGAAAUGCUUAGAUAUCGUCCAGAACACCGAUAGCGAAGGCAGCUUACUAAGGAGUAACUGACGCUGAGGCACGAAAGUGUGGGGAUCAAAC